UACGUAGGGUGCGAGCGUUGUCCGGAAUUAAUGGGCGUAAAGAGCUUGUAGGCGGUCUGUCGCGUCUGCUGUGAAAAUCCGGGGCUCAACCCCGGACUUGCAGUGGGUACGGGCAGACUAGAGUGUGGUAGGGGAGACUGGAAUUCCUGGUGUAGCGGUGAAAUGCGCAGAUAUCAGGAGGAACACCGAUGGCGAAGGCAGGUCUCUGGGCCACUACUGACGCUGAGAAGCGAAAGCAUGGGGAGCGAACAGG
rnacentral:rRNA from 1 species